rnacentral:rRNA from 1 species
GUAGUCCGGAUUGGAGUCUGCAACUCGACUCCAUGAAGUCGGAAUCGCUAGUAAUCGUGGAUCAGAAUGCCACGGUGAAUACGUUCCCGGGCCUUGUACACACCGCCCGUCACACCAUGGGAGUGGGUUGCAAAAGAAGUAGGUAGCUUAACCUUCGGGAGGGCGCUUACCACUUUGUGAUUCAUGACUGGGGUGAAGUCGUAACAAGGUAACCGUAGGGGAACCUGCGGUUGGAUCACCUCCUUACCUGCAAGA